rnacentral:rRNA from 1 species
UGGGGAAUAUUGGACAAUGGGCGCAAGCCUGAUCCAGCCAUGCCGCGUGAGUGAUGAAGGCCUUAGGGUUGUAAAGCUCUUUUACCCGGGAUGAUAAUGACAGUACCGGGAGAAUAAGCCCCGGCUAACUCCGUGCCAGCAGCCGCGGUAAUACGGAGGGGGCUAGCGUUGUUCGGAAUUACUGGGCGUAAAGCGCGCGCAGGCGGCUUAGCAAGUCAGGGGUGAAAGCCCGGGGCUCAACCUCGGAACUGCCUUUGAGACUGCUAGGCUCGAGACCGAGAGAGGAGAGUGGAAUUCCCAGUGUAGAGGUGAAAUUCGUAGAUAUUGGGAAGAACACCAGUGGCGAAGGCGGCUCACUGGUCCGGUACUGACGCUGAGGUGCGAAAGCGUGGGGAGCAAA